CUUUGAGAUAUAAUACGUUUUAUUGCUUGACAAAUAUAUUGCUCUUGUGACACUCACGUAGCUUCUCAGGAACUGAGUCAUCCUCUUCAGUUCUCUGGAAAAUAAACAUUUCGCUGGAAUGGAUUGGGCUGAGAACUCCCCACCCUCCCUCUCUCUGUCAGCGUUACCCUAUAAAAGCAGAGCCAUCUCUCCACUCUGCACUAGAACACCUGAUUACUACAACCUUCAAGCGCGCCAUCACAUCGAGGAAGAACACACAGACACAGCAAUGGAUUGUGCUUCAACUGUCGUCACUUCACAUACCAACAGCAAAAACGACUGCAAUAAAAAUACAUGUGUUGCCCAAUGUCCAACUGAAUCAGGCAAAAACAUAUCAGGUCAAAACAUAUCAGGCCAAAACAUAUCAGGCCAAAACAUAUCCGGCAGUGUGGGCGGAAGUAUUUCCAUUGGCAACCAGGACAAUACCAUCACUCAUACCGGUAUGUAACCCUAUCCAGCGGGAGGUAUUCUACAUAUGAAUGAAUUUAUACAUCAAUUCAUAUGUUAUUGUUUUGUGGCCAUUCAACAUGGGAAUAUAACACACAUUGAUAUUAGACAUUUCAAAGCAUAAAGCAAUUACAUGUCCAUAUACAUACACAUUUCACAGCUCAGUUCCAGCACCAGCAUAACAAAUGUUUUAUUGUUGCUCAUAGCAGUGUUCUAUGCAAACUCCUAAUACUGACAACCACAUUUAUUUAAUUACUGUCAAUGACUCUCUCUUGUUCUCUUAGCUUAACAAACAACUCCCAGAAAAACUGUCGCACCCAGCAUCACCAUAGCCAACAUAACAGGUGGCAAAGUGGGUCUUUACUACAAGGCAGAGAAGAUGGCUCUCUGUGACCUCAUCGAGGGGAGACAACUCAGGAAGGGCCACUCCAUUCUCAUCCUGAAAAACACCUUUAAGAAGACCCCUCUUCCUCCUCUAUGUCACUGGCUUCCAAGUAGAAAGUGACAAUACAUACAGAUUAAACUACAUUCAAAAUAUUGAUUAAAAAUAAAGAGAGAAUAAAUCUCAGAUAAGUGAAAAAGUGCUACAAGAUAUACUUUGAUUGUAUGGUCGAAUUCAACAAUGUAAUCAAUGUAGGUUUUUGACAAAAAAAUAAAUUUUACCAAACUGAGAAAAUGUUAGUAUGUGUUCUGUAAGAUGUUAUCAUGAGUGUGUGUGUGUGUGAUUACAUUACAUGAUUGGGGUUGCCACCAGAUAUCCUACAUACUGAUACUAAUUUCAACAAAGGUCAACAACACAAUAUUGUAAUCAAAGUUUUAUUUCUAAGGUUGUAGUCA
rnacentral:lncRNA from 1 species